AUGACUCUGAUCUGCGUCUUCAUCUGGACUCUCCUCUGCUGCUGCUUCACAGAGUCCAGAGGUCAGGUCACAGUGACUCAGCCUGGAUCAGUGACUUCUGCUCUGGGAGGCUCCGUCACCAUCACAUGUAAAACCAGUCACAGAGUAGAUGGUGGAACUGAUCUAUCCUGGUAUCAACAGAGAGAUGGAGGAACUCCUAAACUGCUCUUUUAUUAUGUUGGUAGUCGAGUAUCAGGAACACCAAGUCGUUUUACAGAUGGUGGAUCAAACUCUGACUUCACUUUGACCAUCAGUGGAGUUCAGGCUGAAGAUGCAGCAGUUUAUUACUGUCAGGGUGAAUUCAACAUCAACAGUCAGUGGUUGUUCACACAGUGA